AAAUAACAAUACGGGGCUUAAUGUCUUGUAAUUGGAAUGAUGGGAAUUUAAACCUCUUCCAGAGUAUCAAUUGGAGGGCAAGUCUGGUGCCAGCAGCCGCGGUAAUUCCAGCUCCAAUAGCGUAUAUUAAAAUUGUUGCAGUUAAAAAGCUCGUAGUUGAAUUUCUGCUGCAUUACAUAUCUCUUGUUUGAGUUUGUUUUUGUGGCUUAUUUCGGUUUGAUUUUUUCUUUCCGGAUGAUUACUUUGAGAAAAUUAGAGUGCUCAAAGCAGGCUUUUGCCUUGAAUAGUUUAGCAUGGAAUAAUAAAGUAGGACUUUGGUUCUAUUUUGUUGGUUUUAGGUACCAAAGUAAUGGUUAAUAGGAACAGUUGGGGGCAUUCGUAUUUA
rnacentral:rRNA from 1 species